GACGAACGCUGGCGGCGUGCUUAACACAUGCAAGUCGAACGGAAAGGCCCUGCUUUUGUGGGGUGCUCGAGUGGCGAACGGGUGAGUAACACGUGAGUAACCUGCCCUUGACUUUGGGAUAACUUCAGGAAACUGGGGCUAAUACCGGAUAGGAGCUCCUGCUGCAUGGUGGGGGUUGGAAAGUUUCGGCGGUUGGGGAUGGACUCGCGGCUUAUCAGCUUGUUGGUGGGGUAGUGGCUUACCAAGGCUUUGACGGGUUGCCCGCCUGAGGGGGUGACCGGGCAUACUGGGACCGAGGGAAGGCCCCAGUGGCGAAGGGGGGGCAAAGGGGGGAAUAUUGCACCAUGGGCGGAAGCCUGAUGCAGCAACCCCGCGUGCGGGAUGACGGCCUUCGGGUUGUAAACCGCUUUCGCCUGUGACGAAGGGUGAGUGACGGUAAUGGGUAAAGAAGCACCGGCUAACUACGUG
rnacentral:rRNA from 1 species